CCUACGGGAGGCUGCAGUGGGGAAUAUUGCACAAUGGGCGCAAGCCUGAUGCAGCCAUGCCGCGUGUGUGAAGAAGGCCUUCGGGUUGUAAAGCACUUUCAGCGGGGAGGAAGGCGUUAAGGUUAAUAACCUUGUCGAUUGACGUUACCCGCAGAAGAAGCACCGGCUAACUCCGUGCCAGCAGCCGCGGUAAUACGGAGGGUGCAAGCGUUAAUCGGAAUUACUGGGCGUAAAGCGCACGCAGGCGGUCUGUCAAGUCGGAUGUGAAAUCCCCGGGCUCAACCGGGGAACUGCAUUCGAAACUGGCAGGCUAGAGGCUUGUAGAGGGGGGUAGAAUUCCAGGUGUAGCGGUGAAAUGCGUAGAGAUCUGGAGGAAUACCGGUGGCGAAGGCGGCCCCCUGGACAAAGACUGACGCUCAGGUGCGAAAGCGUGGGGAGCAAACAGGAUUAGAUACCCCAGUAGUC
rnacentral:rRNA from 1 species